rnacentral:rRNA from 1 species
UGGGGGAUAUUGCACAAUGGGCGAAAGCCUGAUGCAGCGACGCCGCGUGGGGGAUGAAGGCCUUCGGGUUGUAAACUUCUUUUGCUCUGAACAAGGCAUGCCUUUGGGGUGUGUUGAGUGUAGGGGUUGAGUAGCGCCGGCUAACUACGUGCCAGCAGCCGCGGUAAUACGUAGGGCGCGAGCGUUGUCCGGAAUUAUUGGGCGUAAAGGGCUUGUAGGUGGCUGGUUGCGUCUGUCGUUAAAGCUCAUGGCUUAACUGUGGGUUUGCGGUGGGUACGGGCUGGCUUGAGUGCAGUAGGGGAGGCUGGAAUUCCUGGUGUAGCGGUGGAAUGCGCAGAUAUCAGGAGGAAUACCGGUGGCGAAGGCGGGUCUCUGGGCUGUUACUGACGCUGAGGAGCGAAAGCGUGGGGAGCGAACAGG